UACGGGGGGGGCAAGCGUUGUUCGGAAUUACUGGGCGUAAAGGGCUCGUAGGUGGCCAACUAAGUCAGACGUGAAAUCCCCAGGCUUAACCUGGGAAUUGCGUCUGAUACUGGAUGGCUUGAAUUCGGGAGAGGGAUGUGGAAUUCCAGGUGUAGCGGUGAAAUGCGUAGAUAUCUGGAGGAACACCGGUGGCGAAGGCGGCAUCCUGGACCGAGAUUGACGCUGAGGCGCGAAAGCUAGGGGAGCAA
rnacentral:rRNA from 1 species